rnacentral:rRNA from 1 species
AGUGAACGCUGGCGGUAGGCCUAACACAUGCAAGUCGAACGGCAGCACAGAGGAGCUUGCUCCUUGGGUGGCGAGUGGCGGACGGGUGAGGAAUACAUCGGAAUCUACUCUGUCGUGGGGGAUAACGUAGGGAAACUUACGCUAAUACCGCAUACGACCUACGGGUGAAAGCAGGGGAUCUUCGGACCUUGCGCGAUUGAAUGAGCCGAUGUCGGAUUAGCUAGUUGGCGGGGUAAAGGCCCACCAAGGCGACGAUCCGUAGCUGGUCUGAGAGGAUGAUCAGCCGCACUGGAACUGGGACACGGUCCAGACUCCUACGGGAGGCAGCAGUGGGGAAUAUUGGACAAUGGGCGCAAGCCUGAUCCAGCCAUACCGCGUGGGUGAAGAAGGCCUUCGGGUUGUAAAGCCCUUUUGUUGGGAAAGAAAUCCAUCUGGUUAAUACCCGGGUGGGAUGACGGUACCCAAAGAAUAAGCACCGGCUAACUUCGUGCCAGCAGCAGCCGCAG